AGAGUUUGAUCCUGGCUCAGAUUGAACGCUGGCGGCGUGCUUAACACAUGCAAGUCGAACGAGAAAGGGACUUCGGUCCUGAGUAGAGUGGCGCACGGGUGAGUAACGCGUAGGUAAUCUACCUCUGCAUCUGGGAUAACACUUCGAAAGGGGUGCUAAUACCGGAUACACUUAUGGGUCGCAAGACGUAUAAGGAAAGGAGACGAUCCGCAAGGAGUUUCUGUGUAGAGAUGAGCCUGCGUCCCAUUAGCUAGUUGGUAGGGUAAUGGCCUACCAAGGCGACGAUGGGUAGCGGGUCUGAGUGGAUGAUCCGCCACACUGGAACUGAGACACGGUCCAGACUCCUACGGGAGGCAGCAGUGGGGAAUUUUGGACAAUGGGCGCAAGCCUGAUCCAGCAAUGCCGCGUGAGUGAAGAAGGCCUUCGGGUUGUAAAGCUCUUUUGUCAGGGAAGAAAAGGUAUCUCCUAAUACGAGGUGCUCAUGACGGUACCUGAAGAAUAAGCACCGGCUAACUACGUGCCAGCAGCCGCGGUAAUACGUAGGGUGCAAGCGUUAAUCGGAAUUACUGGGCGUAAAGCGUGCGCAGGCGGUUAUAUAAGUCAGAUGUGAAAUCCCCGGGCUCAACCUGGGAACUGCAUUUGAGACUGUAUGGCUAGAGUGUGUCAGAGGGGGGUAGAAUUCCACGUGUAGCAGUGAAAUGCGUAGAUAUGCGGAGGAACACCGAUGGCGAAGGCAAUCCCCUGGGCCUGUACUGACGCUCAUGCACGAAAGCGUGGGGAGCAAACAGGAUUAGAUACCCUGGUAGUCC
rnacentral:rRNA from 1 species